rnacentral:ncRNA from 1 species
UUAUAUUUAACCCCGUACGGUUCUCGAUUUUAAUUUUAAAGUCGGGAUAAAAGGGAAUCCGGUGCCAGGUUUAAGCCCAAGCUGCCUGAAAGCCGGAGCUGCCCCCGCAACUGUAACCGGAUAGCACAUUGCCGCGUGCGCCACUGGGCAGGAAGUCAUUCCAAAGCCCGGGAAGGCCGGCAACAAGCGAUGACCCGGGAGCCAGGAGACCUGCCGUAGACUUUUUCAUUACG